AUGGGAAAGAGUGGCACUGAAACCAUAGGGAACUCGUGGCGCUACAAGCAGAUUCAUUCGACGCAAAUUCGGAGGAGUUGUCAUUUCCCCCAAAAUGUAGGCUACAAAGAACAUCAUCUGUAGGCCUAUAGCCCAAAAGCAUGAGAGAUCUCUUGGACCUGGGAAAGCACAGCUCCGUUGCAGACACAGCUAUGGAGAGGAUGGGCCUGAAUGAGCUCGCUGGCACCAGCCUUGGUGAAACGUCACAAUCCACACCCAUCCCUCCGGUUUCUAGAUUUGUGCCCAGCACCUCCUCAUGAAACCGUUCAGACUACAGCUGAGGAACCAGAAGAGGAGGAGGUGGAGGUGGAGGGAAGGUUCCAGAAGAGCCACUUGCGCUUGCAUUGGCGUUUCUGGUACAGGUAGUCCUCCUUCUCCCGCUCCUUUCGCGCUCUCUGGUAGUGAUCAUCCUCUUUCAGGUACCACACUGGAGGCCAGCGGUGCUUCUCAAAGUAGUCCUGGUUCUCUGGACGACACACAGCAAGAGAGGAUCAAGACACCGAAAACUACAACAGCAGAAAACAGAAAUGUGUUCUUUUGACCACCCCCUAAAAGUUUCAGUUUGAUACAUCUAAAUCCCAGCACAGAACAAGGAUUUGGGCAACUUUGAGACACUCAGCAAUGUUUAAAACUGACAACUCGUGAUUGGACUACUUGAAUCACCUGCAACGGCAAGCGCCAGGAUCAGACGUUGCGACGGGCAGUUGCUGCUGCAACACCUCUGCAACAUUCUGAAAUGGUUUGGUCACGUCACAAAUCUUUGUUCUGAACUGUGCUAUAUGACCAAACCUUUCCUUUCAGAGAUCUGCACAUUAGAACAGGCCAACAAUUCAACACAUGCUGUUUACCAAAGAGCAAAGAGCCAACUUGAAAGUUUUUUUGUUGGCCAUUGCUGGUGGCCAGUCAAAAUGGCCCAUUAAGAAAAAUUGCAUUAGUCCAACACUGGGCCAAUGAGUCAUGUUUACCAGGGUCUGUAAUGUACUGUUGUGUACCUGGGGACUUGGCCUUCAUGUCUCUGGGGAAUUUGCGACAAACACUGUUGUAGUUGGUGCAGAUGUGAUGAAGGCACCAGUUAGUGAGCUGAUGGGCACAGUGGAACUGCCAAGGGGAGGGAGGGAAGGACAGAGAGAGAAAGAGAGAUCACAUAGCCCACCGUGAGGGAGAAAAUCACAAGAACAUUUCCCCGUUUUGUAGCUACUAGCACAUUCAAAAACCCAUGCUUUACAUUCUCAAAAAAUGAUUUACAGCAGCAUCAGCUAUAUUCACAAACAUCCCAAUUGAACAUAUGCUCUGAGUUGCUUGAAAUAUUGGUCGACUGCAAUGCUGUGCAAUACAAUUGUGUUUGCUAAGGCAUUUUAUGUAAUGACUUAGUCCUUGGUGAGCGCUCAAAGGAAGCAGAAAGUGAAGGAUUACAGUCCAGCCUGCUUCCCUGCAGUUUUAGUGCUCUGACUUGGCUAGUUUUGAGACGAGAGUCAGCAAUGAGAGCUCUGAAAAACCAUCCCAUGCGACCACCUUGGACAACCACCCCACUGGACAAAGGCAUCGGACAGCCUGGCAUAUACCAAAGGCGCUGUAGCCCUCAUACCUGAGCCAUCUCGAGGUACACCAGCACAUCCCCGUCGAUAUCAGCCCCCAUCAUGGCGGCCUCCAUUAGAACUGUGACUGUGUACAGCUCUGAAAUAGAUAGCACAUUCCUCAAUGGCAUUCAGCCCUGUCUCCUGGCAACCACAUUGGAUCCUGGCUCAACUCUAUUUCUACACACAUUUCAUGAAAGCACUAGCAACACAAGGUCCAUGCAGCACCAAGCACCAUGAAAGAUAAAACUGUUAAUUGGGAUGGCAUUGUAUAGCACUUUAUUUGGUAUUUAUUGGACUUAUUUUUGCUUUACUUUUUGAUUGGUCUUCUGCUGCUCUAGCCUAUCCACUUAGAGGUUUGCUCUUCUGCAUACUACUGUUGUAAUGUGUGGUUAUUUGCGUUAUUGUCACCUUCCUUUCAGCUUUGACCAGUCUGGCCCUUCUCCUCUGGCCUCUCUCCUUAACAAUGCGUUUUUGCCCACUGAACUGCUGCUCACUGGAUGUUUUUUGUUUUUCCAACCAUUCUCUGCAAACUCUCAAGACAGCUGCGCAUGAAAAUCCCAGGAGAUCAGCAGUUUCUGAGAUAGUCAAACCACCCUGUCUGGCAUCAUCCACAGUCAAAGUCACUCUGACAUUUGGUCUGAAAAACAGCUCUUGACAAUGUCUGCAUGCUUUUAUGCAUUUAGUUGCUGCCACAUGAUUGGCUGAUUAAAUAUUUGCAUUAACAAGAUGGUGUACAGGUCUAUCUAAUAAAGUGGUCACUGAGUGUAUGGUUCUACCUGUAAGGGCCACCAGGUGAGGCAGGCAUAGGCGGUUGGCCAGGACGAUAAGCUCCAUGGCGUCCAAGUCGGGCCGUGAACAGAAGCGUCCGGUGUACAGGUAAUUAGCUGAACAACUAGUGCCACUGAAGGACUGUCUUCACUCCUGACUCCCAGGUAAUGGGAGGGUGAAAAACCAGCAGUUACCGGACCUCAAGGAUUUUAUGAACCCUGGCGCAGACCAGACGGGCUCCCGACCAGAUCAGAAAAACAUCAUACAUGGAACUACCUCCAGACAGGUCAACAGGAAUCUAAACACAGAAUCCACUCCCAAGACCUUGCACACCUGACAAACUUUUUGACAUGCGAAAGAACAAUCAGAAGACUGUAAACCAGACGGAUCAGGUCAGAACGGUAUCUCACACCUAGGACGUAGCAAUGUUAAGACCUAAUGUUUUUCUUAAGAUUUGCUCGUGUCUGAAAAAACUGUGUUGCAAGUCGUAUAACGCCCGCCCUAAUCAGAGAUAUGUUGACACUGCGAAUGCAGACCAUGUCAAUAGCUAAAGGUCAAGAAUAUGUCUAUGGCAUGCUGCAUUUGGCCCUUGAGCCACUAACAGAGUAGCCCUGGUGUAGACCACUGUAAGAACCCUUCAGACAUGCCUCAGUGUUAGAGCUGGCAUGCUGAUGGCUCUUAUUGUCAGAGAGACACUGAUUUAUAUAACCUGAAAAUGACAGCACAAUAAGUCCUCAGUGGGCGGUUUGCAUUGAGCAUUAAAGCUUUUCAGAAUACCGCGUUCUUUCAUUUCAGCAUCUUCAUUUAUCCUUAGUAAAUGCAAAUAUCAUGUUUAAUGCAUAUACUGCACCCCGGUCCACCCACACAGACCACCAGGCAUCCGAGCAAACCUCAGUGGAAAACUGUAAUCAUUUUCUGAACACUAACAUGUUAACAAAAACAGCUCACACCUGAAUGCUAUAUGCCAGUACUUUCACAUAUUUCCCCCUUCUGUUACACUGUAAAGCAUCUUUGUGACAGUCCUCUGUGAAAAGUGCGAUACACAUAAAAAUAAAAUUGAUUUUGCA